AGAGUUGAUCCUGGCUCAGGAUGAACGCUAGCGGCAGGCUAACACAUGCAAGUCGAGGGGCAUCGGGAGUAGCAAUACUUGCCGGCGACCGGCGCAAGGGUGCGUAACGCGUGAGCAACAUGCCCGUAUCAGGGGGAUAAUCCAUGGAAACGUGGUCUAAUACCCCAUAGUAAUUAUGUAAGGCAUCUUAUAUAAUUUAAAGCUUUGGUGGAUACGGAUUGGCUCGCGUGACAUUAGCUAAAUGGUAAGGUAACGGCUUACCAUGGCUACGAUGUCUAGGGGUUCUGAGAGGAAGGUCCCCCACACUGGAACUGAGACACGGUCCAGACUCCUACGGGAGGCAGCAGUGAGGAAUAUUGGACAAUGGAUGGAAAUCUGAUCCAGCCAUGCCGCGUGCAGGAAGACGGCCCUAUGGGUUGUAAACUGCUUUUGUAUGGGAGCAAUAAGGGCUACGUGUAGUCCGAUGAGAGUACCAUACGAAUAAGCACCGGCUAACUCCGUGCCAGCCGCCGC
rnacentral:rRNA from 1 species